rnacentral:rRNA from 1 species
ACUCCUACGGGAGGCAGCAGUGGGGAAUUUUGGACAAUGGGCGAAAGCCUGAUCCAGCAAUGCCGCGUGCAGGAAGAAGGCCUUCGGGUUGUAAACUGCUUUUGUACGGAACGAAACGGUCUGUUUUAAUAAAGCGGGCUAAUGACGGUACCGUAAGAAUAAGCACCGGCUAACUACGUGCCAGCAGCCGCGGUAAUACGUAGGGUGCGAGCGUUAAUCGGAAUUACUGGGCGUAAAGCGUGCGCAGGCGGUGAUGUAAGACAGUUGUGAAAUCCCCGGGCUCAACCUGGGAAUUGCAUCUGUGACUGCAUCGCUAGAGUACGGUAGAGGGGGAUGGAAUUCCGCGUGUAGCAGUGAAAUGCGUAGAUAUGCGGAGGAACACCGAUGGCGAAGGCAAUCCCCUGGACCUGUACUGACGCUCAUGCACGAAAGCGUGGGGAGCAAACAGGAUUAGAUACCCUGGUAGUCCACGCCCUAAACGAUGUCAACUGGUUGUUGGGUGCAUUAGUACUCAGUAACGAAGCUAACGCGUGAA